AGCAGUGGGGAAUAUUGCACAAUGGGCGCAAGCCUGAUGCAGCCAUGCCGCGUGUAUGGAAGAAGGCCUUCGGGUUGUAAAGUACUUUCAGCAGUGAGGAAGGUGGGUAUGUUAAUAGCAUACUCAUUUGACGUUAGCUGCAGAAGAAGCACCGGCUAACUCCGUGCCAGCAGCCGCGGUAAUACGGAGGGUGCGAGCGUUAAUCGGAAUUACUGGGCGUAAAGCGCAUGCAGGUGGUUUGUUAAGUCAGAUGUGAAAGCCCGGGGCUCAACCUCGGAAUUGCAUUUGAAACUGGCAAACUAGAGUACUGUAGAGGGGGUAGAAUUUCAGGUGUAGCGGUGAAAUGCGUAGAGAUCUGAAGGAAUACCGGUGGCGAAGGCGGCCCCCUGGACAGAUACUGACACUCAGAUGCGAAAGCGUGGGGAGCAAACAGGAUUAGAUACCCCUGGUAG
rnacentral:rRNA from 1 species